rnacentral:rRNA from 1 species
AUACGUAGGGAGCGAGCGUUGUCCGGAAUUACUGGGUGUAAAGGGUGCGUAGGCGGGACUGCAAGUCAGAUGUGAAAUGCCGGGGCUCAACCCCGGAGCUGCAUUUGAAACUGUGGUUCUUGAGUGAGGUAGAGGGAAGCGGAAUUCCUAGUGUAGCGGUGAAAUGCGUAGAUAUUAGGAGGAACAUCGGUGGCGAAGGCGGCUUACUGGGCCUUUACUGACGCUGAGGCACGAAAGCGUGGGGAGCAAACAGGAUUAGAUACCCUGGUAGUCCACGCUGUAAACGAUGAUGACUAGGUGUGGGGGGACUGAACCCUUCCGUGCCGCAGUUAACACAAUAAGUCAUCCACCUGGGGAGUACGGCCGCAAGGUUGAAACUCAAAUGAAUUGACGGGG